GCAUUCAGAGUGCACAGCUGUACAUUCAGUUCAAAUAGGGCAAGGAUAGGAAUGAGGGGAAAAACUAAAUCUAUAGAACAUUACCACUUACAACGGCCCAGCUAAAUGAGAGUACAGCCAACAUCUACGUAUACAGAAGAGCUAGAGCACCAUCUAGAGGACAAGUUCAAACAAAAAAUCCAUAGGAACUAAAAUCUAUUCUGAUAAUUAGCUCAGACAGAGCCAAAGUCAUCAAGAACAUAGGGAUAAAAUCUAAGGGCACAGAGCCAAAAAUAAAUACAUCUUCCACUCAAAUGGCAUGGCAAUAUACAUGGCAUCAAUAAAGGAGGCUACCAAAAGUAAGAAAAUGAAGAAGAAUAGAAUACAGAGAAGAAUCAAAUAGAAUAAACAUUACAAGUUACCUAUUUCUUGACAGUAAUAGCGGGUCAGUAGAAAGUACCACAGUGUAUAAGUUUAACUCUAAACAGGGUGUGUCAGAUAACCAUAAAGGAUACCUAUAGGUGGCAAAUAUAUACUUGAGUGGAAGCAUUAAAACUAUAAACAGGAGAGGGAUAGAAAAGAGAAAUGUCUUAAUUGUUAAUGGCUUUGCUGUAACCGACAAAACUGUGUUCCCAUUAACAAACGAAUACUGAAUAAACAAUGUGUCCUAAUUAAAAGGGGUUAUAUCAUUUUGCUGUUACUAGGGUGACAUAAGAUUAAGCCAUGACCUCCAGGUGGCAGUACAUGGGAGCUACAGAAACAGCGCAGCACAGCAAGCUAUGCUGUUUCCAUGAUGAAGAGAAUACCACACUUGGUAAGACCUCAGCGCAAAGAGUUUGAUACGAGAAAAUUGAACAUUUCUUACCUCGUCAACUGUCUGGGCUGGGUGAAGUCGGAAGUUGACAGUAGCUCUUGCCGUGUGAGGGAUCACAUUUUCCUGAAUAAAAAUACAUGCAAGCGGUAAGAAACUGGAUGAAACACAUUCCCCACUGUGGUGCCAUAUAUGAGACAGCAGACAGGUAAUGAUACAGAGUUAGGAGUGCUCAUUUCUGCAACAUAUACUUGAUAAUCACCCCCGCCAAUCAGCUGUUAUAUUGUGUUAACUUGGAAAGCGGCGCUAGAGUUACAAGGUAACAACUGAUUGAUUGUUGUAGGGGCAUUGGACCCUUGCAGAUCGGAUAUUGAUGGCCUAGCCUGAGGCCUCCAAUCUCAAAAUCCUGGACAUCCCCUUUUUGGAUAUGUCAUGACUCCUAUAAAAAUAAUGGCAAUGUGGACAAAGUCUUAAAGGGGUAUUCCAGGAAUCAAAACAAUACACAGCAGAUAGCUGAACGACAUCUCUCCUGACCUCCCCAUACACGCUAGGAUGCGUAAGCAUGUAUUCUUAAUGGAAAUUAAUAAGCUGCUGCCAAACACCUUUGACAGUGGCUUGCCUCUCGUGAGAACAAAAGAUCAGGCACAAAGAAAUCCAACACCUGGGCCUUUUUUUCUCAUACAUCAUCUGUCUCAGGAAAGUAGGGCACCUCAUAGACAUUACUUGGUCAGAUGGUCCUGCUAAAAAUGAUGGGUUUGGCCUAAGUGAAUGUGAUAUGUAUCGGCACCUCAACACUUUAGUGUCUAUUCAUUGUUUAUCCAAGCACAGUUUGUCCAUAAGUUAAUUAUUACAAAUUGUAUCCAGUUAUUAAGUAAUCUGCAUAAAAUUUCUGAUGAUUGGCAAACCCUCAUUAUUGGGAAUGGUACACAUUUAGGGUCCAUUCACAAGUCCGCAACUGUUUUGCGGUCCGCAAAACACAGACACCGGCCAUGAGCGUUCUACAUUUUAUGGACUGCACAUGGCUGACAUUAUGAUAGAAAUGCCUUUUCUUGUCCGUGGCUGUGGACAAAAAUAGGACAUGCUUUUGAUUUUUGCAGGUCCGUAGAACAGAAGUGCGGAUGGAGACAACACACAGUGUGCUAUCCGCAUCUUUUGCGGACGCAUUGAAACAAACGGGUCCGCAAAAUUGCGGAACGGAUGCGGACCCAUUAUGUGGAUAUGUGAAUGGACCCUUACUGUAUAUCCUUAAAGUGAAUGGUGGUCGGUGGUUUAAUUUUCCAUGUCACUAUCAAGGUUUUCAAAAAAUCCUAAAACUCAGCAGUUUUUACUCUGGGCACUAAGACUAAUAAUAGACACCACUUCUUGGU